rnacentral:SRP_RNA from 1 species
UCGUGCUAGGUGGGGAGCUAGCGGUGCCCUGUACCCGAAACCCGCUACAGCGGGGCCGAAUUCCUGUUUGAGGUCUUACCUGGUAGCGUUGCUUUUGCUAAGCGGUGUUGAUGGCUGGGUUCUACGCAGCAGGGCGCUAUGAACUCCGUCAGGUCUGGAAGGAAGCAGCGGUAAGUAGUAUUCUUUGCGUGACGUAGAGGCGCCUGGUUGGAGCUGGCUGGCACGAGCAAACUGCAUAGUGAAGAUCGAGGACAGGUGCACGA